GGUUUGAUCCUGGCCUGAACGCUGGCGGGAUGCUUUACACAUGCAAGUCGAACGGCAGCACGGACUUCGGUCUGGUGGCGAGUGGCGAACGGGUGAGUAAUGUAUCGGAACGUGCCUAGUAGCGGGGAUAACUACGCGAAAGCGUAGCUAAUACCGCAUACGCUCCUUCGGGGGAAAGCGGGGACCUUCGGGCCUCGCACUAUUAGAGCGGCCGAUAUCGGAUUAGCUAGUUGGUGGGGUAAACGGCCACCAAGGCGACGAUCCGUAGCUGGUUUGAGAGGACGACCAGCCACACUGGGACCGAGACACGGCCCAGACUCUACGGGAGGCAGCAGUGGGGAAUUUUGACAAUGGGGGAAACCCUGAUCCAGCCAUCCCGCGUGUGUGAUGAAGGCCUUCGGGUUGUAAAGCACUUUGGCAGGAAAGAAACGGCACGGGAUAAUACCCUCCCGUGCAACUGACGGUACCUGCAGAAUAAGCACCGGCUAACUACGUGCCAGCAGCCGCGGUAAUACGUAGGGUGCAAGCGUUAAUCGGAAUUACUGGGCGUGAAGCGUGCGCAGGCGGUUCGGAAAGAAAGAUGUGAAAUCCCAGAGCUUAACUUUUGGAACUGCAUUUUUAACUACCGAGCUAGAGUGUGUCAGAGGGAGGUGGAAUUCUGCGUGUAGCAGUGAAAUGGGUGUAGAUAUGCGGAGGAACACCGAUGGCGAAGGCAGCCUCCUGGGAUAACACUGACGCCCAUGCACGAAAGCGUGGGGAGCAAACAGGGAUUAGAUACCCUGGUAGUCCACGCCCUAAACGAUGUCAACUUAGCUGUUAAAUGGGCCUUGUAGCGCAGCUAACGCGUGAAGUUGACCGCCUGGGGAGUACGGUCGCAAGAUUAAAACUCAAAGGAAUUGACGGGGACCUGCACAAGCGGUGGAUGAUGUGGAUUAAUUCGAUGCAACGCGGAAAACCUUACCUACCCUUGACAUGUCUGGAAUCCCGAAGAGAUUUGGGAGUGCUCGCAAGAGAACCGGAACACAGGUGCUGCAUGGCUGUCGUCAGCUCGUGUCGUGAGAUGUUGGGUUAAGUCCCGCAACGAGCGCAACCUUGUCAUUAGUUGCUACGAAAGGGCACUCUAAUGAGACUGCCGGUGACAAACCGAGGAAGGUGGGGAUGACGUCAAGUCCCUUUUGGCCCUUAUGGGUAGGGCUUUACACGUCAUACAAUGAAGCCAUUGCAGGGUCGCCAACCCGCGAGGGGGAGCCAAUCCCAGAAACCCGAUCGGUCCGGAUCGCAGUCUGCAACUCGACUGCGUGAAGUCGGAAUCGCUAGUAAUCGCGGAUCAGCAUGUCGCGGUGAAUACGUUCCCGGGUCUUGUACACACCGCCCCGGGUCGCUACCAUGGGAGUGGGUUUUACCAGAAGUAGUUAGCCUAACCGUAAGGAGUGGCGAUUACCACGGUAGGAUUCAUGACUGGGGUGAAGUCGUAACAAGGUAG
rnacentral:rRNA from 1 species